ensembl:lncRNA
GAUAUCCUGAAGCCUGACACAGCAGCAUGACCGGAAACUUGCUGCCUGGCAUAACCGAAAGAAAACCCACCUCUCCGCAAAAAUGUCUGGCAACCAUUUAGCAGUUACUCUGGACUAUGAUUCUGGCUCCAUCACCUUUUUAGAAACCUCACUGUUGGCAGCCCUUCCUUCAACAUCUAGAUUCAGGGUUUUCCCGCCUUUGGCCCAAGAUGCUGGCAUAUGUUCCAGCAUGCCUGCGACAGAGGAUAAGCGGUUGGAGAACAAAUGGAAUGUUGAAAUUUGACAAAAUAUAAGCACAGUUCACUCUUCUUUAAUUUAUUGUUUUUAUUUCUUGUGAUGUUCAAAAAUAAAAAAGUACUU